GCCUUCGUGGUGUAAUGGUUAACACGCUCCGCUCGUAUCGAGAGGUCCGAGGUUCGAGUCUCGGCCAGGGCA
rnacentral:tRNA from 1 species